UGCAGUCGUACAAGGUAACCAGAGCUUGCUCCCUGAGAUCAGCGGCGGACGGUUGAGUAACACGUGGGUAACCUGCCUGUAAGACUGGGAUAACUCCGGGAAACCGGGGCUAAUACCGGAUAAUUUAGUUCCUCGCAUGAGGAACUGUUGAAAGGUGGCUUUUCGCUACCACUUACAAAUGGACCCGCGGCGCAUUAGCUAGUUGGGGAGGUAACGGCUCACCAAGGCAACGAUGCGUACCCAACCUGAAAGGGGGAUCGGCCACACUGGAACUGAAACACGGCCCAAACUCCUACGGAAGGCAGCAGUAGGGAAUCUUCCGCAAUGGACAAAAGUCUGACGAAGCACCGCCGCGGGAGUGAAAAAGGUUUUCGAAUCGUAAAACUCUGUUGUUAGGGAAAAACAAGUGCCGUUCGAAUAGGGCGGCACCUUGACGGUACCUAACCAAAAAGCCACGGCUAACUACGUGCCAGCAGCCGCGGUAAUACGUAGGUGGCAAGCGUUGUCCGGAAUUAUUGGGCGUAAAGCGCGCGCAGGUGGUUUCUUAAGUCUGAUGUGAAAGCCCACGGCUCACCCGUGAAGGGUCAUUGGAAACUGGGAAACUUGAGUGCAAAAAAGGAAAGUGAAAUUCCAAGUGUAGCGGUGAAAUGCGUAAAUAUUUGAAGAAACACCAGUGGCGAAGGCAACUUUCUGGUCUGUAACUGACACUGAGGCGCGAAAGCGUGGGGAGCAAACAGGAUUAGAUACCCUGGUAGUCCACGCCGUAAACAAUGAUUGCUAAGUGUUAAAGGGUUUCCGCCCUUUAGUGCUGCAGCUAACGCAUUAAGCACUCCGCCUGGGGAG
rnacentral:rRNA from 1 species